UACGGAGGGGACUAGCGUUGUUCGGAAUUACUGGGCGUAAAGCGCACGUAGGCGGAUUUGUAAGUCAGGGGUGAAAUCCCGGGGCUCAACCUCGGAACUGCCUUUGAUACUGCAAACCUCGAGUCCGGAAGAGGUGAGUGGAAUUCCUAGUGUAGAGGUGAAAUUCGUAGAUAUUAGGAAGAACACCAGUGGCGAAGGCGGCUCACUGGUCCGGUACUGACGCUGAGGUGCGAAAGCGUGGGGAGCAAACAGG
rnacentral:rRNA from 1 species